GCUGAAAUAGAGAAGGUUAAGAAAAGAAGGGAGGAAAGAGCAAUUGAAAAACAGCAUGAGGAGGAAAUGGCAUUGUUAGCUAGAGAAAGAGCACGUGCUGAGUUUCAAGAUUGGGAGAAGAAAGAGGAAGAGUUUCAUUUUGAUCAAANCAAAUUUAGGUCUGAGAUCAGGUUACGGGAGGGACGUACAAAGCCUAUUGAUGUUCUCCUGAAGAAUCUUAACUUUGCAGACGAAUUUGAUGUUGAGUUAAAUGAGCCCUACUUGGUGUUCAAGGGAUUAACAGUGAAGGAGAUGGAAGAGNNNNGUGAUGACAUUAAGAUGCAUCUCGAUCUGGACAGGGAAAGCCAAGUAAAUGUCAAGUACUGGGAGGCACUCAUGGUAGUGUGUGAUUGGGAGCUAGGUGAGGCUCAUAAAAGAGAUGUCGUGGACCGGGCUAGGGUGCGUGGUGAGGAACCACCCCGUGAGGUUGAACAGAGAGGCUUGCAUGCAAGUAUUGAGGGGGAUGUAAAAGAUCUCUUGGAGGGUAAGACUUCCACAGAGCUAGAAGAGAUGCAAAAUCAAAUUGAGUCCCAGAUGCGCUCUGGAACUGCAAAAGUUGUUGAAUACUAGGAGGCCAUUUUGAAACGCCUUCAUAUAUACUCCCUCCGUGCUUGCCUGAGGGCAAUCCAUGCUUCUCUCUUACGGAAGCAUCUGCAUCGUCUAGAGAAUGCUGGUGCUCCUGAACAGGCUGUAGAAGCUGAUGAAGAAUUAGACACUAAAGAGGAGGAUGUGAUGCACGAUGAGGAAGAUGAUAAACGAUAUUCGCCAGAACCUAUAGAACAUAUAGUUGAAGCAACAGAGAGCCAUUUGGAUGAGGAUGAUGGCUCCUUCUCGCCCGAGUUAAUGCAUGGCAAUGAAGAUGAAGAUGCAAUUGAUCCUGACGAGGACAAGGCAGAACUGGAUCGGCAACGUGAAGCUGUAGUUACCGAGCAUCAAAGGAAAGUUAAGGAGGUUAUGACAGCUAAGGCAAAAAAAACAGAUGAGUUGGAACUGAAGGCAAUGAAAGCGAUGGGAGCAAUGGAGGAAGGGGACGCUGUAUUUGGUUCAGGUGCUGAAGUGAACCUGGAUUCACAGGUGUACUGGUGGCAUGACAAGUACCGACCAAGGAAACCAAAGUACUUCAAUAGUGUGCAUACUGGAUAUGAGUGGAACAAAUACAAUCAAGCUCAUUAUGAUCAUGACAACCUGCCUCCUAAAAUUGUCCAGGGCUACAAGUUCAACAUAUUUUACCCUGAUCUUGUGGAUAAAUCAAAAGUACCAAUGUACCUAGAGAAAGAUGGAAGUGCUGGGGAGACAUGCCAUAUAAGGUUUCAUGCUGGCCCUCCAUACGAGGAUAUUUCUUUCCGCAUCGUGAACAAGGAGUGGGAGUACUCACACAAGAAGGGCUUCAAGUGCACGUUUGAGCGUGGGAUUCUUCAUCUCUAUUUCAACUUCAAGCGAUACCGCUACAGGCGAUAG
rnacentral:rRNA from 1 species